UCGGGGAGGAGGAGCCGGCAGCUGGCCCCAAGUGCAGAAAGCCCAGAGCCUUGGACCCGGCCCAGGGAAGUGGAGCAGAAGAAAUUGGAUUGGAAGGUGGUGGGGAGGGCCCAUAUGGCACAGUCCUCCUCCCAUCCCAGGACGUCGUCCGUGCUCACCGUGUCCUGCCCCCUGCCUCACCCUGUGCCAGCCACAGCUGAUGGUCCCCCUGGGACGUGGGCGUGGGCAGGGGUGCACUGGCUGGGAGAGGCUGUGUCUUCCGGCCCCUCAUAUUGUGCCUUCUCUGAGCUAGGCAGGCACUUGGAUGCCAGGCCUCUGCCACGAGGGCUGCCUUCCCCUGAGCUGGGAGUUCUCACUCAGCUCAUGUCUCCGUCCCUCUGGCUGCAGCCUGGCCGCCCUCCUUGGAAGUUGGCGGGGAACCUCCUGUGCCCAGAGCCUGCCUUGGACACGGUUUGGGGAUGAGGUGGUGAGCUGCUCAGAACUCACCCAGUGGCCAGCAAGGGGCCCCCCAGCCUUGACCUCCCUUCUCUGAGGCAGAUCCAGGGAAGGACCCUGCACUGUUCUGGGCUCCCCCAGCCACAGGUGUGGCCUCAAGCCAGGCCCUGACACAGUGGCCCUCUUGGC
rnacentral:lncRNA from 1 species